AUUGAACGCUGGCGGCAGGCCUAACACAUGCAAGUCGAACGGUAACAGGAAGAAGCUUGCUUCUUUGCUGACGAGUGGCGGACGGGUGAGUAAUGUCUGUGAAACUGCCUGAUGUAGGGGGAUAACUACUGGAAACGGUAGCUAAUACCGCAUAACGUCGCAAGACCAAAGAGGGGGACCUUCUGGCCUCUUGCCCUCUGAUGUGCCCAGAUGGGAUUAGCUAGUAGGUGGGGUAACGGCUCACCUAGGCGACGAUCCCUAGCUGGUCUGAGAGGAUGACCAGCCACACUGGAACUGAGACACGGUCCAGACUCCUACGGGAGGCAGCAGUGGGGAAUAUUGCACAAUGGGCGCAAGCCUGAUGCAGCCAUGCCGCGUGUAUGAAGAAGGCCUUCGGGUUGUAAAGUACUUUCGGCGGGGAGGAAGGGAGUAAAGUUAAUACCUUUGCGCAUUGACGUUACCCGAAGAAGAAGCACCGGCUAACUCCGUG
rnacentral:rRNA from 1 species